rnacentral:sRNA from 1 species
GCUUCCUGUUUGGGCAUGAGUCCGGCGCGUGUCGGGUUUUGAGCUGCCGCGAUCCCGGGACUGAGCUCCUUGGGAGCAGACAGCUGUCCUCUCUGGCAGAGGAGGAGCGCUCAGUAAAUGCUUGCUGGACGAAUAAAUGACUAGAUAAGAUAAGGCAGCUCCAGCCCCUGGAAGGCCAGAGACUUGCCAGUGUCCCACUAGCGGGCUCUUUGCAAGAAUCUCCCCAGGCCCGCCGCAGCCAGGUGGCGGCCGGCAGAGGGCGCUGCUCGGGCAUGGCGGAGGAGCGGCCGGGGGCCUGGUUCGGCUUCGGUUUCUGCGGCUUCGGGCAGGAGCUGGGCUCCGGACGCGGGCGCCAGGUGCACAGCCCCAGUCCGCUGCGGGCGGGCGUCGACAUCUGCCGCGUGAGCGCGAGCUGGAGCUACACAGCUUUCGUGACCCGUGAGCACUCCCCGCCCCGUCCCCACUUAUUCCAGCCGCGCUCCCCAGUCGCCUCCCCGCACCGCUGUGGCCAGUCCAGUGUGUCUCCCCCGUUCAGGCCGCCAGCCCCACAUUCUGGACUGGUCCCCAAUUCGGCCCCUUCCCAGGAACACCCCCCCACCCGCCUCCAUUCUGGCCACCCUGCUCCAAUCUAGACCAGCCCCCAGCGCCGCCCCAAAUUCUAGGCCCUCGGUGCAUGUCCCUUCCCCUCCCUAGCCCGCUCUCCGCCCCGCAGGUGGAGGCCGCGUGGAGCUGUCGGGCUCAGCCAGCGGCGCGGCGGGCGGCUGCAAGGACGCGUGGGCCUCAGAGGGGCUCCUCGUGGUGCUACGCGCCCGGCCGGGGCCGGAGGCGUUACUGCAGGUCUGGGCGCCCGAAUCGGCGUUGCGUGGGGAGCCCUUGUGGGCCCAGAACGUGGUGCCCGAGGCCGAAGGGGAAGACGAUCCGGCCGGUGAGGCCCAGGCUGGGAGGCUACCCCUGCUGCCCUGCGCCUGUGCCUACGUGAGCCCGCGGGCGCCCUUCUACCGGCCUCUGGCUCCGGAGCUGCGGGCACGCCAGCUGGAGCUGGGCGCCGAGCACGCGUUGCUGCUGGAUGCUGCUGGCCAGGUGUUCUCCUGGGGCGGGGGCAGGCAUGGACAGCUGGGCCAUGGGACCCUGGAGGCAGAGCUGGAGCCACGGCUGUUGGAGGCGUUGCAGGGCCUAGUCAUGGCUGAGGUGGCCGCGGGGGGCUGGCAUUCUGUGUGUGUGAGUGAGACUGGUGAUAUUUAUAUCUGGGGCUGGAAUGAAUCAGGGCAGCUGGCCCUGCCCACCAGGAACCUGGCAGAGGAUGGAGAGACUGUCGCAAAGGACGCCACAGAACUGAAUGAAGAUGGUUCUCAGGUGAAGAGAACGGGCGGGGCUGAGGAUGGAGCCCCUGCCCCCUUCAUAGCUGUCCAGCCCUUCCCAGCAUUACUGGAUCUCCCCUUGGGCUCAGAUGCAGUCAAGGCCAGCUGUGGAUCCCGGCACACAGCUGUGGUGACACGUGAGUGGGGCUGGGAGGCACUCCGCUCCUCUCGAGCUGGUGCCUAUGGAAGGGGGUGUGGUCGACGGAAAAACUUCUGUCUUAAGGCUUCUGUGGCUCAUACAGAGCAGCUACCUUGCUCCGUGGAUAAGCCCCAAGCCCCGUGUUGUUUCACAGUAGUUCCCCAGCCUGUCAGGCCCAGAAGAUUCUUCCUUCUGGUGGGAGGCUGAUGCUGUCUGUCCUCACCUGCACGGCCACAGACACAUUCCCUGCCCGCCGCUGCCUCUGACAGCAGGGACUGUCCAGUCUGGCAUGGAAGACUGUGGCGCUCGGUAGCGUGGCACACAGGAAGAUCCACCACUUUUUCCCUCGGGACCCUCUGCCAUGCCACAUGUGAUCAGCCAGUUGUCAAGAGAAUAUGUUGUUCCACGCCAGGCAGAUCUUGUGAGGAUUGUAAUAUGCAGCUGUGGGCUGUGCCAAGCCGGGCUGGACAGAUGUCUUGCCAAAGAACUGUAGUGACAACUAUCGAUUGUCCUUUUGCUUUCAGGAACAGGGGAGCUCUACACCUGGGGCUGGGGUAAGUAAAAGGAUUGUUUUUGUGACCCUGAAACCAAGGAGAAGACAGACCUGGGAGUAUAGGGCAGGUGACAAAGCCACCAAGACUAGAGGAAGCAGGGGCCUCGGCCAGGUCACUGGGAGGAGCAGGAGUGCUCCCUCCCUGGAGUUGGAACAGACCUAGGCACACUCAGUCUGAGACCAGACAGGGGAGACAUGGAGAGGAUAUCGGUACCACCCACCUACCUCUCUGAAAGACUGUCUUAAGGGAGUAUCCAACCAGCACUUACAAAGCAGCUUUUUGUGGAUGUGACAUUGGGUGGAGAAAAAGAUUCGAUGGAAGUGUGUGCCCUGAACAUCUUAGCUUGGGUGGCAGGGAAGUCUGGAGGAGCAUCUUGCCUGGAGUGGCUGGUCGCCACUAGCCUCUUGGGGAUCCCCAAGGUUGCCUGGCUCUGGGUCUCUUGGAUUCACAGAGCAGUGGGGCAUAAUCCCAGCACUUCAUUUGAUAGUCUGGGCCCCUUCCUGGAGGGAAAGAAGCAGCAAGACCCAGUGGAGACGAUGACAAAGGGGCUGAUUUCACUUUAGGUAAAUACGGACAGCUGGGCCACGAGGACACCACCAGCUUGGAUCGGCCCCGCCGUGUGGAAUACUUUGUAGAUAAGAAACUCCAAGUAAAGGCUGUCACCUGUGGGCCCUGGAACACCUACGUGUAUGCUGUGGAGAAAGGGAAGAGCUGAUGUGUGUAUGUAUAUGUAUAUACAACACCUGUGAAACCCCCAUUCAGGUCAAGGAAAACCAUUGCCUGCACCUCAAGGGCCCCAUAUUUGCCCCUCCCCAUCACAGUCCUGCCCUUCACCCUCAAGCACGGUCCUAAACUUGUCUGCACUUUAGAAACACCUGGAGAGCAUUGAAAACUCUGCUGCCUAAGGUCAGCAUCAAUGAAAACAAUGAAGUCAAUGAAACAAUGAAAUCAGAGCCUCUAGGUGUGUGGCCUGGAUAGUGGUAGAUUCAAAGCUCCGCCUACCUCAUCCCAGGUACAUUUGAUGUGCAGCUGAGAUUGGGGCACAUUCCAGGUCAUCUUCCUUUGUCAGUCACUUCCCUGCUUUUGUUAGAAUUUUACCAUUCUUGUAUGCAGCCUUACACGACAUAGUUGUGUUUGCUUUUGAGUGUUAGGUAAAUGGAAUCCUGUG